AGCUAUAUCAGUGUUUCCCUCUUGAAAAAACUACAUUUUAUCGCCUUUAAAAAAGUACUAAACUACCUCAUUCCCUAUUCCAAAACCGAUUUGCAAUCACUGAACAAUUCUUUGACAUUUACUCUAUUCUUAUCGUUGGCAACUGAAAAUUAAAUUAGAAAUUUCAACAUUAAUUCGGCAAAAAAACAUCGGUUUAGAGUUCUCCCCAAGGAUUUGUAGUUAUUUUGGUCGGUGCUUCCUUCCGCUGCAAUUCCGUCUGUGGUUCACUGCCACUGGCCUUGCUUUUUCAACGAUAUAACUGUUUUCUUGUGAUUUUUGCUGCUGCAAUCCCGUCUGUGGUUCACUGCCUCUGGCCCUGCUUUUCCAACGAUAUAACUGUUUUUUUGGUAACUUCUACCGCUAAGACUUUGUUGCUUUUUCCCUUUUCCCUAAAAACAUAAUAGUGCUACAAAGCUCAAUAACAAUAUGGAAACAAAUGUUAAUAAGCCACAAUAAUAUUGACAAUAAAUAAGAUUUCACUACGA
rnacentral:lncRNA from 1 species